rnacentral:misc_RNA from 1 species
AACGCACAUUGCGCCCUCUGGUAUUCCGGGGGGCAUGCCUGUUCGAGCGUCAUAACGCCCAUCAAGCCCAGCUUGGUAUUGGGUGCUCGUCCUCCCCCAGGGGACGUGCCCGAAAGUCAGCGGCGGUGCGGCCGGUCCUCAAGCGUAGUAACUACUUCCGCUCUGAUGGCCCGGGCGUCCCAGCCGGACAACCACCUCAUAUUUCAAUGGUUGACCUCGGAUCAGGUAGGGAUACCCGCUGAACUUAA